GGAAACGACUGCUAAUACCCGAUAUGCCGCAAGGUGAAACCUAAUUGGCCUGGAGAAGAGCUUGCGUCUGAUUAUCUAGUUGGUGGGGUAAGAACCUACCAAGGCGACGAUCAGUAGCUGGUCUGAGAGGAUGAGCAGCCACACUGGGACUGAAACACGGCCCAGACUCCUACGGGAGGCAGCAGUGGGGAAUUUUCCGCAAUGGGCGAAAGCCUGACGGAACAACGCCGCGUGAGGGAGGAAGGUCUUUGGAUUGUAAACCUCUUUUCUCAAGGAAUAAGUUCUGACGGUACUUGAGGAAUCAGCCUCGGCUAACUCCGUGCCAGCAGCCGCGGUAAUACGGGGGAGGCAAGCGUUAUCCGGAAUUAUUGGGCGUAAAGCGUCCGCAGGUGGUCAGCCAAGUCUGCCGUCAAAUCAGGUUGCUUAACGACCUAAAGGCGGUGGAAACUGGCAGACUAGAGAGCAGUAGGGGUAGCAGGAAUUCCCAGUGUAACGGUGAAAUGCGUAGAUAUUGGGAAGAACACCGGUGGCGAACGCGGGCAACUGGACUGGAUAUGACGGUCAGGGACGAAAGUGAGGGGAGCAAACGGGAUUAGAUACCCCUGUAGUCCAAGCCGUAAACGAUGGGUACUAGUUGUGGGUAAGCCCAACCCUGGCCGUGCCGAAGCUAAGGCAUUAAGCAUUCCGCCUGGGGAGUACGCACGCAAGGGUGAAACUCAAAGAAAUUGACGGGGGCCCGCACAAGCGGUGGAGUAUGUGGUUUAAUUUGAAGCAACGCGAAGAACCUUACCAAGACUUGACAUGUCGCGAACCCUGGUGAAAGCUGGGGGUGCCUUCGGGAGUGGGAACACAGGUGGUGCAUGGCGGUGUUCAGCUCGUGUCUUGAGAUGUUGGGUUAAGUUCCGCAACGAGCGCAACCCUCUUUCUUAGUUGCCAGCAUUUGGUUGGGGACUCUAAGGAGACUGCCGGUGACAAACCGGAGGAAGGUGGGGAUGACGUCAAGUCAGCAUGGCCCUUACGUCUUGGGGGACACACGUACUACAAUGGUCGUGACAAAGGGC
rnacentral:rRNA from 1 species